GAAACCAGUUGUGCUCCAGAUUCUCCCAGCCCAGCCACGCAUGCUCCCUCCCACCUGCAAAGCAACGGGUCUGACGGCGCGCAAGGGCUUCUGGGAAUCGUAGUUCCUGGUGGGAGGGGCUGGUCGGCGUUGCCCCGGCUUCUUACGCAUGCGCGACUCCGAGCUGGCCUGAGAAGUUCGUAGCCUUUGUCAGGCCCGGGAUGGGAGAGCCCCCAGAGGAAAGACAGGAAGGAACACCCGAGGCUCCCGGGACUUCUGACUGCUCUGUCCACUGAGGUGUGCCUUGGGUGAAAAGCAGAAAUCUUCAGGACAUGGAGGAGGUGGUGAUCAUGGAGACAGAUUUGGCCGAAAUGCCUGAGAAAAAAGCCAUGUCUUCCCAGGAUUCCCCCCUCUGCCAAGAGAAGAACACAGAUGAGGAAGAAGUGGCAGCUAUGUGCCUCACAGCCAGAUCACAGGUGAGUGUGAGUCUACUGGUGAUAGAAGUCCCACCUUAUUUCUCAGAGUACAGGUGUGCUCCCUUCUUUUUGAUAAAAGUUUCUUUUUUUUACUAGAGCCCAUCUAGAGAGCUGAGUUCUAAUUCUGAGAGAUUAAUGAAUUUGGUAGGAAAUACUUUCUACUUUUCCAUAGUACCUCAAUUCUCCACCUAGUUUUUAUUGUCCCUCUACAGGCAGGUAAGCAACAUUUCCCUUCUUUGGCCUACUUUGCUAUUUCUGUGCUUGGUAAUGUGGGAAACUAUUUUAAACAUAAUGUCAUGAAUGAAUGCAUGUGAUUUGAUGAAUGAAUGGAGGAAAGAAUGCAUGUUACUAUAUGUAGGAGUUUAAGAAAACAUCUUAAGUUAUGAAGUGAUUAGAAGGCAAUUAAUACUCAAAUAGUUCAAAUGAGUGCUAUAAAAGGGAAGCUUAGGAAGGGAUAAAAUAACUGUUAGAAUCCAGCCCAGCCCUCCAAAGGGGCGAAUGCUGGAGUAUUAUUUCUGCAACUUACUCUUAUAUCAUUGCUACCCCUUCCCUGUGCAAGAGCAGCUAUGGCAAAUGUUAGGAAUUUUUGAAUUCAUGUAGUGGUUGUACAGUGGAUAAUUAUUGUUUUUCUUUAAACUUUCAUAUGUUUUCAGCCCUUUUUAUUUAGAGACAGGGUCUCACUAAGUUGCUCACGGCCUUGCUAAGUUGCUGAGGCUAGCUUUGAACUUGCAAUCCUCAUGCCUCAGCCUUCCAAGUUGCUGAGAUUGUAGGCUUGCACCAUAGCGCCUGGCUUUUAUUUCUUAGAUCUCAUAUUAUUACCAUUUUGUAAACUUUAAACUUUGGAAAAACUGUAAACAUAAGAAAUGUUGCAAAGAAUACUAGAUAUCUUGUCCAGAUUCUCUAGAAGUUAACAUUUUUACUUUGCAUUAUUUCUUUUUUCUAGAAUUAGGACAUUAACAAUAGUAUAAUACCAUACCCUGCUGACCUUCAGAUUUUCCAUCUGUCU
rnacentral:lncRNA from 1 species